rnacentral:rRNA from 1 species
GAUUCCCCUAGUAACUGCGAGUGAAGCGGGAAAAGCUCAAAUUUAAAAUCUGGUGGUCUUUGGCCAUCCGAGUUGUAAUCUAGAGAAGUGUUACCCGCGCCGGACCGUGUAUAAGUCUCCUGGAAUGGAGCGUCAUAGAGGGUGAGAAUCCCGUCUUUGACAUGGACUCCCGGGGCAUUUGUGGUGCGCUCUCAAAGAGUCGAGUUGUUUGGGAAUGCAGCUCAAAAUGGGUGGUAAAUUCCAUCUAAAGCUAAAUAUUGGCGAGAGACCGAUAGCGAACAAGUACCGUGAGGGAAAGAUGAAAAGAACUUUGGAAAGAGAGUUAAACAGUACGUGAAAUUGCUGAAAGGGAAACGCUUGGAGUCAGUCGCGUUGGCCGGAAAUCAACCUUGCUUCUGCUGGGUGUACUUUCUGGUUGGACGGGCCAGCAUCAGUUUUGACCGGUGGAGAAAGUUCAAGGGAAUGUGGCAUCUCUGGAUGUGUUAUAGCCCUUGAUCGUAUACAUCGGUUGGGACUGAGGAAUUCAGCACGCCGAAAGGCCGGGUGAAUCUUCACCACGUUCGUGCUUAGGAUGCUGGCAUAAUGGCUUUAAUCGACCCGUCUUGAAACACGGACCAAGGAGUCUAACAUGCCUGCGAGUGUUUGGGUGGAAAACCCGAGCGCGUAAUGAAAGUGAAAGUUGGGAUCCUUGUCAUGGGGAGCACCGACGCCCGGACCAGAAGUUUACGGACGGAUCCGCGGUAAAGCAUGUAUGUUGGGACCCGAAAGAUGGUGAACUAUGCCUGAAUAGGGUGAAGCCAGAGGAAACUCUGGUGGAGGCUCGUAGC